rnacentral:ncRNA from 2 species
CACAAUGAUAGGAAGAGCCGA